AGGGAUAUAUGACUUUGAAAACGUGUGUUAUGUGUACAAAAUAGAGCACUGGUGGAUCAAAAACUUUUUGUACGCGUAAAUUAGAAGAUACGAAGGAGAUGUAAAAUUUGAUGUCUUUCUGUUGUUUACUUCUGAAUUUAAUGUAAUCAAUCAGGAAAAAAGUCAGUCAAUCUAUGUUUGCGUUGUUCAUAGGGUGGAAUUUUCCUUCAUAGGAAUCCACCUUAUGACUUUAUGGUAAAUGUCUAAUUCUACUUUCCUAAAAUAGCUUGAAGAAUUUCUUUGCUAACAUAUAUGGAAACUUAGUAGUUGACUGACAUUUGAUAUUUCCUUGUACAGAUUUGUUACAAGUUAAAUCAGAGUGCAUUAUAGUCUGCUCUUUGGGAUAAUGACUCAAAUGACUUUUUCGUACUGUAAUUGACUGCAGAAUGCAAGCUAAGUCAGCGUAAAGCGUGUUCAUUUACUGUCAGAAUUUCUGCAUGAUUCUAUACAUUCGUUUGCUGUAAGCUUCUGUUAUUAAAUGAGACUUUUAGACACCUCUAUAUAAUUUGUAAUACAUCACUGCUUUUCUCCAUAUUACCCACUUUGCUCUAAAUCCUCAUUCCCAUCCUUAGCUUCACUUUUAUAGGUUUACCCAUCAUAAUGUUAUUGUGCUUGUGUAAUGUUUCUAAGAAAAAAAAAUUGGAACAGAAAGCACCUGACCAUGAAGUAGGAUAUUCCAGCAGUAGCUUGAGGAUUUUUUAUUACAAAGAGUUGAAAAAGGCCACCAAGAACUUCAGCUCGACGAGGUCCCUCACUGAUGGACCAGUGUUCAAGGGUUUUAUGAACGAGGCGGUUCUUACUCCAUCAUCUUUUUCCACUUCCAAAAUCCCUGUGGUAAUCAAGGCCAUAUUAUUGUUGUAGUGAAGAGAGUAGUCAACAUAAAAAAUGGCAGGAUGAGUUGAACUUCUUGGGAAGAUUGUCUCACCCGAACUUGGUUCGCCUAUUAGGAUCUGGAUAUUGCUGGACAAAGCAACAACUUUUCUUAGUGUCUGAAUAUAUGCCCAAAGGAAGCUUAAAUAAUCAUUUGUUCAAUGGUAAUACACUUAGCUGGGAUCAGCGGAUGAGCAUAGCUUUGGGAGUAGCUCAAGGCCUAGCCUUUUUGAAUAGUAGUUGUUCCGACAUACCAUGGGUGUACGACUACUUUAGGCCCUCAAGAAUACUUCUUGAUCAGGUACAAAAUAAAUAUGAAGUAUUAUCAUAUAACAAUUUGCUUUUGUAUUGUAGUUUAUGAAGAGCAUUAUGAUAUUAUCUGAAGAAAAAAAAGACUGAAAAUGUAUGCAAAAAGCAAAAUCUAUGGUAUACAUAGUCGAUAAUGUCAUAGUGUCAUACAUAACUCUUCCGUUCUUCUCCUUGUGGAUCGUUCAGGAUUAUAAUGCAAAGAUAUCAGUUUUUGGCUUACCAAAAUUUUCAAGGGAUUAUAACUCGAAAAACCAUUUUUAUUUAUAAGGUUCAGAAUAUUUUUCUCCAGAUUUCUUAAAUAGUAAGUAGUGUUUUUUUUCAUAUCUAAAUCGUGGUCUUUGCUUACUAGGGAUGUCAAUGGGGCGGGGCGGGGCGGAUGUUGUGCUUCCCAUCCCCAUCCCCACCUAAAAUUUUCAUCCCCAUCCCCGUGGCGGGUCUAAAAUUCAUUCCCAUCUCCACCCCAACCCCCACUUGGAUAUCCACCCCCACCUACUCCCCAUCUACUCCCCAUCUAAGACCCGCCUAAUUCCCGCCUCCCAAAUACACAAUCCUU